CUAUAUUCAUUUAUUUUAUAAGCAAGCGUAACUUAGCUUUCUACUUUAGUCCAGCACUACACCCUUACCGUAGCCCAACGCUACACCCCUACCAUAGUUCAGCAUUACAUCCAUUUCAUUGUAGCCUAGUGCUGCACACUAUCUAUUUCCAUCUCCUUUGAAUGGUGGUGUGAUGGUGGUGAAAGUCAUCAAAGGUCGAGGUAUCUAAACCCAUACUACUCUCUAUCCUCCAUUCGACCCAUAUCUUUCCAGCUUGCAUGACACCGCUAAAAUGCUCUUGCAUGCAUCCAGACCUCGCCUAGCCAAACUUAGCAGACUACCCUCUACCUCGACCAACCGAGCUCUCCAAGGAUUCCAAGUGCACUCGCUU
rnacentral:lncRNA from 1 species